rnacentral:ncRNA from 1 species
CGAGUACCGAUUAUACUCGUUAAAGUCUGAAGUUGUCAAAUAAAGUCAGUGAUCGGAGUAAAAGAGUGCCAGGACUGUUUAUAUCGCAACUUCCUAUUCCUUCGCCUUCUGGCAUCCUGUCAAAAGAGAUAUAAAGUCUCCUUAGCGAAUAGAUAUAUUCGACAAUGGGUAUUAUUGGAUUAAACAUAUGAGAUAAAAAUCCAAAUAUCCUUUAUCUUUUGUAUUUUAUUAUAUUACGAAAGUCGUUUACAGAGCCUAUAUUUUUUAUUAAUUGCUGGUAGUAUUUUUGAACAUUUACCAUUGUUUGUUGCUGUAUAAUAAUAUUUAGGCCUUUCAAUAUAAAAAAAAAAUUUUUAAGCGUUCUUUAUUUUUAGACGGGAAACUAUUCACAUAUGCACGCACGCGCGUGCUCACACACACACACACACACACACGCGCGCGCGCGCGCGCGCACACGUGCACGUACGCACUGUAACCGUACAAUCUUAACCGUAGUCUCAACUAACGCCACAACUUCAUCGCAUUUUUCUGCUAACGUUAUUCAAGAGCCAGUGUUUUUACCUCGGUAAUCGAUGUCGAUAGCCAUGGCGUCUCGUUCUCAUCGCGAGAACAGGCGCACCAAGAGCGUACACGUUAGGACCCGAAAGAUGGUGAACUAUGUCUGGUCAAGACGAAGUCAGGGAAAAUCCUGAUGGAGGUCCGUAGCGAUUCUGACGUGCAAAUCGAUCGUCGGAACUGGGUAUAGGGGCGAAAGACUAAUCGAACCAUCUAGUAGCUGGUUCCCUCCGAAGUUUCCCUUAGGAUAGCUGGUACUCAGCCGUUCUGCACGGAACGCGCGCGAGUCUCAUCUGGUAAAGCGAAUGAUUAGAGGCCUUGGGGCCGAAACGACCUCAACCUAUUCUCAAACUUUAAAUGGGUGAGAUCUCUGACUUUCUUGAACUAUGAAGUCACGAGUAUCACACGGAUCAGAGUGCCAAGUGGGCCAUUUUUGGUAAGCAGAACUGGCGCUGUGGGAUGAACCAAACGCAGAGUUAAGGCGCCCAACUCGACGCUCAUGGGACACCAUGAAAGGCGUUGGUUGCUUAAGACAGCAGGACGGUGGCCAUGGAAGUCGGAAUCCGCUAAGGAGUGUGUAACAACUCACCUGCCGAAGCAACUAGCCCUGAAAAUGGAUGGCGCUGAAGCGUCGAGCCUAUACUCUGCCGUCAGCGGCAAGAUAUACUCUGCCGUCAGCGGCAGGUGGGCUGAUCAAGGUUCCCGACCAGGGAAGCGGGUCUGGCUGACGUGCCGGGCCUGGGCGAGGUGAACGCUCGGGUGUUCUCGCGCCGGUUCCGGGAUCCGAGCUCGGUCCCGUGCCUUGGCCUCCCGCGGAUCUUCCUUGCUGCGAGGCUUCCGUGGCGGCGUCGAGCCGUCGAGGUCGUCCUCUUCGGCCGCCAUUCAACGCUCAGCUCAGAACUGGCACGGACUAGGGGAAUCCGACUGUCUAAUUAAAACAAAGCAUUGCGAUGGCCCUCGCGGGUGUUGACGCAAUGUGAUUUCUGCCCAGUGCUCUGAAUGUCAACGUGAAGAAAUUCAAGCAAGCGCGGGUAAACGGCGGGAGUAACUAUGACUCUCUUAAGGCGGUAACUAUUCUUAAUAUCCAUGACUCACACCAGUGUGCUCGGCAAUUCCUAUCAUCUGGGCGUGGGCGAUUGCUUUGGCCAUCGCACAGCCUAGCCAAAUUGUGACAACCAACAGCCUUGCUACCACGCAAAACAGCACAAGUAGGUGCAAAUAACAGCCUCGCCACUAUGAAAGUAGCAAGUAUCGAAUCGAGUCCCCGCCAUAUGUUGGAGUGCUUGAGCUCGCCUCGUUCGCCCCGGCAGGUCGGCACUCGAUUUAUAACGAGCCGUCUCUAGGCGUGCACGCGACUUUGUCUGAGGAGCCGAAUGGCUCACGCGGGCCUUACGGCCGGAGGGCGUCUUUCUGGGGACAGUAUGCCCUGCCGGUUGUUUGGUCCGCAGGCUUUGUCGCGGGUAAGAGACGGUCUAAGAGUGUUGAAACCUCACACUGCGUUGUACUAUCUGCGAUGAAGAGUGGAUACGCUGGCGAUGGCCACCUACGUUUGUCCCGACGUCCGUUGGGUCCGAUGGUGCCCGGAAAAUCGCCACAUAGAUACUUAAUAAACAAAUGAACAAAUAGAGGGAGUAGCACCCUCAAGCGAUGGCUGAAAGCAACACGCCGCAGAUUACCGAACACGCCUCCCAAAGCAACACGCCGCGGGAGGCAACACGCCGCAUGUCAAGGGUGGGAGUUGCCGAGCCAAAAAGCAACACGCCACGAUGGGACCUUGCUGUCGCGAACACCAUCAGCAAAAGCAACACACCGCAGGGCGUCCGUUGGAGAGUCAUGGUUGCAGGGCUGUUGAAGCGUCACUUAGUCUGAAAAUGACAUAGCCUCUCACAGCCAAGUCGAAUCUCACCUCCUACGGUUCUCGCCGGUAACCUCAAGUAGAAUAAAUUCGAAAGUUAUGCUAAUGAGGUUAAGGCGAUAUGCGAGUACUCCCCCGACUCGGACCGUUUAUCCCAAUGAGAAAUAGUACAUCAAAUUGACGUCGAAUCGAUGUCGAGUCGAUUAAAUUUCAUCGAACGGAUUAUUGAACAUCGAAAUCUCAAAUAUUUUGAGAUGAUUUCGAUGUCGUGAUAACUGUAUAAAUAGUAUUUAUUGAUAUCAUGUAGCAAUACAAUUAUUAUCUUUCUUUCAAGAUUUUCAAUGUUUUUCUUAUGUUUUUAUUCAAUAUCGAUUCGAUGUCGAUUCAACAUCGAUUCUAUAUGUUAUAUCCCAAGCAGAACAACAAGCCAUUAUGGUAUCAAAAUGAUAUCAAGAUGAUUCCAAAAUGAUCAUUAAAAGUCAUUUUUUAUUCAUUUUAAUGUCAUUUUGAUGUUAUCGUGACUUGUUUUUCUACUUGGGAUAUAACGCGCUAAUAAUGCUGACGUAAUUUCCUACAUUGCCGGUAGUAUCGGCGUGUACCUUGAGAGAUCGCUCGACCGAGGGCGCGACGUGCCAGUGCGUCGAAAUAUUCGAAAUGUGAACAGUGCCUUCCAGUAAGCACUAGCAGUAAUAGAGGUUUCUCUCUUGCAGUCACUUGCAGUAUAGUGAUUAGUGAGUAAUUACGCGAUUUUUAUUGCAAACGUAAUAUAUUACAUCUUAAGCUGCGUUCCACUUAACGCUCACAACGUUCGUGGAAUCAUUUCAUUGUCGUUCAUCAAAUGUUAAACAAGGGCAAACGAUACUCGCGAGCGUUGCAAACGUUAAGUGGAACGCAGCCUUUUUAGAAUUUGUGUACGUACAUACAAUUAAGGUAAGUAGCUAUCUAGCCUUUCACCAUGAUAAAAAAGCUGUGUGCAGCGGCGUUAUAAUGGGUGCUUUUCAUUCCCAAUUAACACAAAGCGCUUGCAAAGCGCUAAAAAAGCGAUUAUAUAAUAUACACUUUUUUUAGCGCUUUAUUAACGCUUUGUAAGCGCUAUGUGCUACUUGGGAUUUAAUGACACAAGUCGACAAGUGUCGUUCUACGUCACUCUCUGAAUGUCAACAAGGAUAGAAUGAUUGAUUUUUGAUGACAAGUCGACACUUACAAUUAGUGCGGCACUCAUUGGCUGUCGCUAGUUAACAAUGAGUACUUUCCAUUUCAUGACGUAAGUCGACACAAGUCAACACCAGUCGACACAAGUCGACACAAGUGUCAUUCUAUCUUUGGCUGCAUUCCGUUUCAUGCAUGAU